UACGGAGGAUGCGAGCGUUAUCCGGAUUUAUUGGGUUUAAAGGGUGCGUAGGCGGGCUUUUAAGUCAGCGGUAAAAAUUCGGGGCUCAACCCCGUCCGGUCGUUGAAACUGGGGGUCUUGAGUGGGCGAGAAGAAGGCGGAAUGCGUGGUGUAGCGGUGAAAUGCAUAGAUAUCACGCAGAACUCCGAUUGCGAAGGCAGCAUACCGGCGCCCUACUGACGCUGAGGCACGAAAGCGUGGGUAUCGAACAGG
rnacentral:rRNA from 1 species